rnacentral:rRNA from 1 species
AUUAACGCGAAGAACCUUACCAGGUCUUGACAUCUUCUGCUAACCUAAGAGAUUAGGCGUUCCCUUCGGGGACGGAAUGACAGGUGGGGCAUGGUUGUCGUCAGUUCGUGUCGUGAGAUGUUGGGUUAAGUCCCGCAACGAGCGCAACCCUUAUUGUCAGUUGCCAGCAUUUAGUUGGGCACUCUGGCGAGACUGCCGGUGACAAACCGGAGGAAGGUGGGGAUGACGUCAAAUCAUCAUGCCCCUUAUGACCUGGGCUACACACGUGCUACAAUGGACGGUACAACGAGUCGCGAAACCGCGAGGUCAAGCUAAUCUCUUAAAGCCGUUCUCAGUUCGGAUUGUAGGCUGCAACUCGCCUACAUGAAGUUGGAAUCGCUAGUAAUCGUGGAUCAGC